rnacentral:tRNA from 1 species
GGGUCGAUACCAGAGCGGUCAAAUGGGGUGGACUGUAAAUCCACUGGUUCUACCUUCGGGGGUUCGAAUCCCUCUCGGCCCACCA